rnacentral:rRNA from 1 species
UACGAAGGGGGCUAGCGUUGUUCGGAUUUACUGGGCGUAAAGCGCACGUAGGCGGAUCGAUCAGUCAGGGGUGAAAUCCCAGGGCUCAACCCUGGAACUGCCUUUGAUACUGUCGAUCUGGAGUAUGGAAGAGGUGAGUGGAAUUCCGAGUGUAGAGGUGAAAUGCGUAGAUAUCGGGAGGAACACCAGUGGCGAAGGCGACUUCCUGGCCUGUUCUUGACGCUGAGGCGCGAAAGCUAGGGGAGCAAACAGG